GUGGCAGCGAUUGCACGUCGCUCCACGCUCCGUUCGACUCUAGCGCGCUGUCUCGAACGAACCGGUUCAGCCGGUCUAUGUGAUUACACGUUAUGCGACCAAUAAUUGUGUAGUGUUAUCCGAACCACUAAAAGCUUUUCAGCACUAUGGACCUUGUGCCUCUUUAUCUCUCGAACAAAGUUUAAAGUUAAGUGCGAUUCCACAUACUUUCUGUGAAGUGUAAGUUUACUUGAGAAGUUUUCUGUCGCUGUCCCCAGUGUUUUGGAGUUGUUAGUGACAGAGGAUUUUUGAAAGGAAUUUCGUGAUUUUACUGUGCCGCGUUUGAUUUGGUUGUGUCAAGUUUUACUCGCAUUGGAUCUUGAAUUUUAUAAAGUUUUAACUUUUUGAUUUUGAAAGGAGUUACCGACGUGACAACAUUCUAUGACGACGGACUUACAGGAAAACCGUGGCAGUCACCUCUUCAAAGAUGGCAUAAGAUAUUGAUUGGAUAUGAGAGGAUGAGCCAUGGAAUCACGAAGCGCGCCGCCAAGCCCCGAGGAGUCGGGGGAGGCGGUGUUCGAGUCUCAAUGCGGGCGAUAUCCGCAGCCGAGCUUGCAGAGGAGUUUUGCCAGCUGUCGCGAGGCGGGCAGGCCGCGCCCGCACCAUCGCCACGCCGUCUCCGAGCCAGCGCGUCCCGACGAUCGCGUGCUCACCACCGCCGAGGUUCACGACUAUCCCUCCUCGGAGUCCGGCAUCGCAGCCGACUGCCCGCAUCCCCACACCAGUAACGCUGACGACAGCCCCUGCUAUGACAGAUCCGAUUACGAAGGCAACUCCAACUAUAGUUUGAGGCGAACUCCCGACUAUCACCACACUCUCGACUGUCAACACCGUCCUGUAGAUUAUCGUAGUCAUACGCCAGAUUUUAACCAUGGACAUGGGUCAGAUUGUGACCGUGGUCACCCUCGAUCUCAGACGUCGCGUCGACCUCAUAGGAAACAUAGAAGAGAAGAAGACGACGGCGCACAGUCGCUAGACGAGCGCUGCGCGCGAGAUCUUGAUGAAAUCUUACCAGCGCGACUUGCAGCCGUUAAUCUGUCCAGGGAACCUCCUCCACAAUCUUGGAAUAGAAGCAACAUUGCUGCCACUAUGGAAAGGUUUGAACCAGUCGACUACUCUUACGCCUACUAUGAUCAUCACUUAUCAAUGCCCUCGUCGUCCAGAAAGGCCAACAGACAACGUGGGCGUGGAGGCGUAGCUCGAGACCGUGCUGAACGUGCAGAACGAACAUCCCGUCAUAAUUAUGUCACUAGAUACGGAACUGAAGAAAACAUUUACGAGGAAAUUACUGAUGGAUCUAGGACAUGUCCUAAACAUCGUUAUGUCCCUCGACAAUCCCUCGUAUCAUUAGACAGAAGCGUUGUUGAAGAAGAAGUGCGUAGGGUGGAAUCAAGACAUAAACGGAUUUUGGGCGAACUAAAUCUUAGCGUGGAAGCUAUGUUAAUGCCAGAAUGCGAGUCCCCCGACUCGGAACGUGCGGAAGAUAGAGAUAAUAUCGAAGAAUUGAUGAGGGUGGGACCGACGGACGAACUACUUUCACCAGCUAGCUGUAAUCCUCCAGAUUUAGAUAGUGGAUUUAGUGGUAGCAGUAGUGGCGCAAGCUAUGUCGGUAGUUUGAGGAGGAAACCUACAGGCUCGGUGCCUCAUUUACCAGCGGUAGCGUACGGGACACGCGGAGCUGGCGUUCGUAUUCUGGGUGCUGACGAAUGUGGUCUGCGCUGUCCACGAGACGUAACUUCACCACGAAGUUCAAGCUGCGGCGAUGCCAAAACUACUGGUUUUUGGAAUAAAAAAGCUUGGAAGAAAAUAUCGGGUUUCUCUAGUUCUAACAGCAUCAACAAAGCAGGACUUACUGGUCUGCUCGUUAGGUACACUUUCCGGCGUAAGUCCGGCUCGCAGGGCUCUCAGGGCAAGCGGCGUACCGAGCCCGUCAAAUGCGAUGCGUGCCUCUCACAACGAUGUUAGCCGUAUCAUGAUGAAGCCUGUAGGCCAAGCAGAGCUAAAUCCAGAACAUCUACUAUACCAUACAGCUACUCCAACGGAAAAUUGGUGGUGCCGCUGGAUUCCCUAGCACAGAGCUGAGGGGCCGGGACCCCUCGCCAUCCCCGCCUCCUGCUCCUCCGAGGGCCUCCUCAACGCUAAAGGACAGCGAUGAAUUCGAAAGUGGUGGCUUAAUGAACGCCUUCAAGAAAGAAGGAGCGAGUGUGCAUUCGGCUCACGUCCGUGAACUUGCCUAUUCCGCUCUAACGCAAUUUGUUUCGCCGCGUUUCGAUCGCGUCCGGGGAAUUAUCGUAAACAUUCCAUUGGACUCCAACUAAUGUAUCAGUGUCGACACCUCCCAGUGCGUCUCAAAGACAAGCUAUAGGUGUGUCAUCAAGUUUGUAAAUAGCGUGGACUUUACCGAGGCAAGUAUACGUUGAAGUGAUAGUAAAGCCUAAUGAAUUAUUUGUAUUGUUAUGACGAUCGUUUCAUAGAAACGUAAUGACUACGUUGUUGUUACUUAUCAAUUUUUAGUAGGUAAUAGGUACAUGAAAAGGCUGAAACAGUUGAAUCCGAUUUUGUACAUGGUGAAUAGGAGUUGCCAUCUAGAUAUAGACAUUUUGGAUUCGUGUUUGUUCUUUGAAACUUGUAACAAUACUCAGUCUUAAGCAGUGUGUAAUUGGUCUAAUAUUUCUCUAUAACGUCAUUCAUGUCUUUAUUUAUUGUAAUAGAGCGCCUUUUAUCACAAAAAUAAGAAAAUCAACAAAAACAACAUUUUAAAAAAUGGUGCUUCAUAUUUUUGCAAAUCAAUAUGCUACCUAUAGCUAUUUAUUUAUAUCGCUUAAAGAUUAAUUUAUCGAAUUUGUAAUUAUGUACCAUAGAACAUUCGAAGCAUUUUACCCGAUUUUAAAAGAGUGUAGUAAUGUGGUCCAAACCUAUUUAUUUGUAAACAAACCCAUUAGGAAUGUGCAAUUUUCAUUUUAUUAAAAAGCAAAUUUCUGAAGAUGGCGUGAUUGUUAAUAACUGUUAGAAAGUAAUUGUAUAUUAUGUAAAUAUUGUCCAAAAACUAUACGGUGCACUUUUAUAAGUUACUCGUUUAAAUAAAUAUGAUACAGUCACUUACAUAAUUCUUUAUGAUAUUAAUUUGGUAAUUUCUCUCUUCUUAUAGAAAAAUAAUAUUAUCAUACUUCGCCCAAAGUACAGAGACUACUAUUGAUUGUGUUGUAUGUAUUGUUUCAAUUAAAACUGUCAAAUAGAAAUGAUGUAUUACAUUAUUGACUUUCGGUUUAAACUUCACUAAGAUUAUCUUAUUUAUUCUACGCACUAUAAUUUUAUAUCGAUGUUACAUAGCACCAAAUAAAUGUUUGUCCAAUUGAAUUCAUAAACUUUACUUAUUACCAAUGCAUUUACUAAAAAGUUUUCAUCGAGAUUUAGAAAUACAGGGUGUUAGUGACAUCGUAACUUAUACUGGGGGAUGGUUCAGACCAUAAUUCUGAGUGGAAUUUUCCGUCGCAAAACUCAUGAUUACUUUUUUAAUUAUUUUCAAUUCUAAACUUUUGCGAUAAAAAAAUCCACUAGAUAAUUAACUCAGAAUAAUGAGCUGAAUCAUCCCCCUCAAUAUUCGUUACGAUAUCACUUACAUCCCGUACGAGUACGUACAGGUAGUCAUACAAGUACGUAUGGGUGUUAGUAACAUCGUAACGAAUAUUAAGGGGGAUGAUUUAGACCAUGAUUCUGAGUUGAUAUCAAGUGGAAUUUCUUGCCGGAAAAUUCAUGAAAAUGUUAGUGUUUUUUUUUAUUAUUUUCAGUUCCAUACUUUUGCGACGGAAAAAUUUGAUACUUGAUAUCAACUCAUAAGAAUCAUGAUCUGAAUCACCCCUCAAAGUUUUUGUUACGUUGUCGCUAACACCGUGUAUAUACCCAUCUCGUUCUAAUAUAGUAACAAACAUAAAAUACAAGAAUGAGACGGAUAUAGGUUUCUUAAUGUUGCUGAUAAUUCUUUACAGUGUCAUACAGAAUAUCAUGUAAAUAUAAAUGUAAAAUUGUUUGAAGCAGUCAGUUUGGUUUAUAUAAUUAUAAGCUCGACUGAUACGCGAUAAAUAUUCUCAAUCAAUGUUACACGAAAUGCAUAUUUCUUUAACUGUAUGUAAUUAGUGAUCGUGUUCAAGUCAAAAGAGAUUUUUAUUAAAUAAAUCGAUAAAAAGUC